UAGAAAAGAUGCAGAAUUUAAGAAAGGAU
rnacentral:piRNA from 1 species